CCUACGGGUGGCAGCAGUGGGGAAUAUUGGACAAUGGGCGAAAGCCUGAUCCAGCCAUGCCGCGUGUGUGAAGAAGGCCUUCGGGUUGUAAAGCACUUUCAGUGGGGAAGAAAGCCUUGGGGCUAAUACCCUCGAGGAAGGACAUCACCCACAGAAGAAGCACCGGCUAACUCCGUGCCAGCAGCCGCGGUAAUACGGAGGGUGCGAGCGUUAAUCGGAAUUACUGGGCGUAAAGCGCGCGUAGGCGGUCUGAUAAGCCGGUUGUGAAAGCCCCGGGCUCAACCUGGGAACGGCAUCCGGAACUGUCAGGCUAGAGUGCAGGAGAGGAAGGUACAAUUCCCGGUGUAGCGGUGAAAUGCGUAGAGAUCGGGAGGAAUACCAGUGGCGAAGGCGGCCUUCUGGACUGACACUGACGCUGAGGUGCGAAAGCGUGGGUAGCAAACAGGAUUAGAUACCCUAGUAGUC
rnacentral:rRNA from 1 species